rnacentral:rRNA from 2 species
UGCAGUCGACGAUGACCGCUUUCGGGCGGGGAUUAGUGGCGAACGGGUGCAGUAACACGUGGGCAAUCUGCCCUGCACUCUGGGACAAGCCCUGGAAACGGGGUCUAAUACCGGAUAUGACUGUCCAUCGCAUGGUGGAUGGUGUAAAGCUCCGGCGGUGCAGGAUGAGCCCGCGGCCUAUCAGCUUGUUGGUGAGGUAGUGGCUCACCAAGGCGACGACGGGUAGCCGGCCUGAGAGGGCGACCGGCCACACUGGGACUGAGACACGGCCCAGACUCCUACGGGAGGCAGCAGUGGGGAAUAUUGCACAAUGGGCGAAAGCCUGAUGCAGCGACGCCGCGUGAGGGAUGACGGCCUUCGGGUUGUAAACCUCUUUCAGCAGGGAAGAAGCGAAAGUGACGGUACCUGCAGAAGAAGCGCCGGCUAACUACGUGCCAGCAGCCGCGGUAAUAC